rnacentral:sRNA from 1 species
UCUAAGUCCCUUGAAUAUACCGGUACUCUUUUGUAUACAAACAGAACAAAAAUACUUAGUUACAAUGGGAAAUAGACAUAAUAUAUAUAAAAGUGUCUGAUAAAAGUAUAGGUCUUGUUCUUGAACAGAAGAAAUUGACAGAAAAAUAAUCAGUUUUAGCCAUGAAAUACAAAUAUUAAUAUUUUUUAAGAAAAUUAUUAAAUCUAAAUAAGUUAUAAAAGGUUUUUUUCCCUUUAUUCCAAUGUUUGGAAACAAAUCCAAAAUAUAAUUAAAAUUGCUGUACAGUAUAUCCUAUUGAUUCCUAUAAUAUAUCACUUUAGUUUCUUGAACAGCAUGUUUAUUACUUUUUUUUCUUAAAAUGAUGUAUACAAGGUCAUUAAUUUAUUUUCAUUAUAUUCAACUAGAUACAAAUAGGCCUUCUGCAACCUUUUCAUUGUUUAAAUGGUAUGGAGUUUUAAUUACCUUUCAUAUGAAAAAUGACAUCUAAAUCUUAAAUUGCUGUACAUUAUAUCCUAUCCAUCUAAUGUAUCACUUUAUUUAUGUUGAACUUCGUGUCUAUUAGUAUUAUGAUUUUUUUUUAGAAUGAUAUGUGCAAUUUCAUUAAUUUAUUUUUCAUUUUAAGAAAAUUCAUUUUAAAAAAGAUCUCUUACAACCUGUGUACUUUUUUUUCAGUUUACAAAACACAGUGUAUUAAUUGAAUGUAGUUGUGUAGAUUUAUACAUGUACCUACAAGCAAUAUACAUUUAAUAUUCACCGGGUACAUGUACCAGCCUACUAUAUUUGAUAGAUAAAUGUACUUCUUUCAUGCCUUUUACUCAUGGUUAUAUGUAUUAUUUAUAAUUAAAAUACUUUGAAAACUUU